rnacentral:ncRNA from 2 species
CUAUGCCGAAGCUGCUCUGGUGCGGCGGGAAACCCGCCGUCAAUAGGGAAUGUGGUGCGGCGGGAAACCGCCAAUUCCACGACUGCCCCCGCAACUGUAGGCGGCGAGCGGAAACAGAAUGACACCACUGGCCCGGACCGGGCUGGGAAGGACUGUUUGCCGCAACGACCCGCAAGUCAGGAGACCUGCCAGAGCGAUCACCUUCAU